UAUCGGCAAGGCAUAGGCAACGCGAUUGCCGAGCCACACCGAGGGAGCGGAGCCUCACCACACCGCAAAAGCGGAGGUGAAAGAUAACGGACACGGGGUGGUGCGGUCAGUAGCGUGAGCGAGAACGGCAAGCCCC
ncrna:unclassified sequences RT-3 RNA